rnacentral:tRNA from 1 species
GCCGGGGUAGCUCAGGGGUAGAGCGCAUCCUUGGUAAGGAUGAGGUCACGAGUUCAAAUCUCGUUCUCGGCU